rnacentral:ncRNA from 2 species
UUCACAGUUGGAAUGGAAGCUCAUAUAAACCUUGAAUUCGGCAAGGCGUUUCUACCUAAGACCUAAUCUUAGACUAUGAGAUAUUCUGCGGUACCG